rnacentral:tRNA from 1 species
AGGAAUUUAGUUAAAAUAAUAAUAUUUAUAUUGCAUUUAAAAGUUAAUUAUUAAAAUUAAUUCUAA